ensembl:lncRNA
AUGGGGUUUCACCAUGUCGCCCAGGCUGGUCUCAAAUUCCUGACCUCAAGUGAUCCACCUGCUUCAGCCUCCCAAAGCGCUGGGAUUACAGGCAUGAGCCAAGGUGCCCAGCUGAAGGUGCCAUCUUUGAAGCAGAGAGCAAACCCUCACCAGAUACCAAAUCUGCUGGGCCUUGAUCUUGAACUUCCAGCGUCCAGAACUUGCUGCAUAAUAUUCCAUGGUCUGGCUGUACCACAGUUUGUUUACCCAGUCACCUGUUGAAGGACAUCUUGGCUGCUUCCAAGUUUGGGUAAGCAUAAUUUAUGACGCAUUUUACCUUUUAAAAAAUGUAUUUCUGAGCUCUAUUCACUCAAAAUGCCCAGAAACAAUGACCAACCCAAUAGUAAUAAGCAUUGCAUAAAACAAGAUUGUGCUUUCUAAAUAAUGUUCCUCACUGAAAGGAACCAGGACUCCUUAGAGAGACGGCUCAUUCCAGGUUUGGGGUAGAAAAUGUACAAGAUGAGUCUGGGGGAACUUGCUGUUCCAGAAAACAAGGAAGCCAUCAAAGCCAGCUGGGGUCAAAGACAUCAAGAACCAAUCCAAAAGGUUCUCUCUGGCUGAAUAGGAUCAUUUGAGCACCAAUAAGAAUAAGAAUCACAGGGGGCUGAAACACAUCAAAUAACAUUAAGUCGCUAUAUUCAUAAUGACACUCUUUUUUUGAGAGAGUUGGGCGUGGGUCUUAUUCUGUUGCCCAGGCUCGACCUCUGUGCUCAAGUAAUCCUCUUACCUCAGCUCCCAAAGUAGCUGGGACUACAGGCAUGCACUCCAUGGCUAAUUUUUGUAUUUUCUGUAGAGACAGGGUCUUGCCAUGUUGUCCAGGCUGGUCCCGAACUUCUGGGCUUAAGUGAUCCUCCCGACUGAACCUCCCAAAGUGCUGGGAUUACAGGUGUAAAUCACCAAGCUCGGCCCCAUUAUGAUAUUUUUUUAAAAAUCAAUUUUAAAAAACCUCUUAGGAUGCUAGGAAACAAACUCAUUAUUUGAAAACCAUUAAAGAACUAAGUCUUUCAUUGUCUAUAGUGUAUAUACUGGAAGAGAGCAUACUGUGCCUUGGGGUAACUAAAGAGCUAACGAGGAGACGCCCUUUUUCAAGUAUUCCAGCUAAUAAAUGAAGAAGGAAGAUAGGAUUAGAACAUCAAAUUAGCUGGGUGUGGUGGCACAUGCCUGUAGUCCCAGCUACUUGGGAGGCUGAGGUGAGAGGAUCACUUGAGCCCAGGAGAUUAAGGUUGCAGUGAGCCAAGAUCGCACCACUGCAUUCCAGCCAAGGCGACAGAACAAAACCCCAUCUCAAAAAAAAAAAAAAAAAGCAUCAUUAUUUUGCAAUCCUUAAUGAAAUAAUGAAUCUAGGCAGUGAACAUCCACAACUACAAACUUCACCCAAAAACAGAGAUCACAAGACAUUAAGGGUCUCCUGACAAAAGGACACAGCACAAUACCUCCUAUGAAGUAUUGCUGCCAAAAAUUGAACCUGAAUCUGAUCAAGCCUCUAGAUCUAAUUACAGGAAAUUCCGAAGACAGAGAAACAUGUUAAAGGACCCCACAGGAAUACAAGCAGCAGAAUCCAGAUUGGGAGAAACGCUGCUGGACAAACAAUGGGUUUCUUCCACAAAUAUUAAUAAAUGGCAAGGGUGGAGAGGUGGAGAGAGAGACAGAGAUGUGGGGAGAGAGAAACUAUAGAUUAGAGACUUAAACUAAUCUAGAAUUAGUUUCUGGGUAUCUAGAAACUAUAGAUUAGAGACUUAAAACACACAACAUGUAUGAGACAAUCAGGGAAAUUGUAGAUGCUGACUAGAUCAAUUCGAUGACAAUUUCUCUAGGAGUGAUAAUGGUAUUAUGGCUAUUAUUACCUCUUAAAGACUCCCUUAUCUUUUAGAAAUAUAUACCAAAAUAGUCAUGGUUGAAACAUUAUGGUGCCUAGGAUUUGCUUUAAAAUAACCCAAUGAGAUAAGGGUAUCGGGGUGGGAAGUAGAGGAAACAAGACUGGGCAUGAGUUGUCACUCUGAGGCUGAGUAACCAGUGCAUUAUUCUACUGUUACAUAUGUUUGAAAUAUUCCAUGAUUAAAAAAAAAAAAAAAAAGCUUACCAGAAGUAAACAUUUUGGAAAGCUCCUUUUCCAAAACAAAGCCAGAGGCAACCAGGAUCUCUUGUGCCUCGGAUGUUUUUAUGUUGUCAUCACUGUGUGUAACAUGUGGCCAGAGUGAGUGGCAGCUUUCUUCCCAGUAUUCUUUCCUUCCUUCCAAGUGUGUUGGUGAGUUAGUUCCAAGCUGCCUGAGAAGGGGUGAGGAGGAGCCACAUGCGAUGUGCCUUCAUUGGAUCAGCCUGCAUCCCAGGAAGGACCAGCAACCAUGGGGCAGAGGGAACAAGGCUGGGUCUGGGCCCCAGCACUGCAGCUGACUUGGCAGGUUCAAGGUGGGAGCACUGCAAACCCAGCUACCUGGGCAGGCUUCUCUCUGGGGCACGUGUGGUGCUAGGGCACUCACGGCAGGCAUAAAUCUUAUCGAUAAAGGCAGAGUCAUGUGAUGAUUAAGAGCUUGCUACUUGGGAGGCUUAGGCGAGAACAUCACUUGAGCCCAGGAAUUCAAGGCCAGCCUGGGCAACAUAGCAAGACUCCAUGUCUAUAAACAUAAAUAAAUAAAUAGGCUGGGCACAGUGGCUCAUGCCUGUAAUCCUAGCACUUUGGGAGGCUGAGGCGGACGGAUCAUCUGAGGUCAGGAGUUCAAGAUCAGCCUGGCCAACAAGGUAAAACCCCAUCUCUACUAAAAAUACAAAAUUAUCCAGGCAUGGUGGUGGGCACCUGUAAUCCCAGCUACACGGGAGGCUGAGGCAGGAGAAUCACUCGAACCUGGGAGGCAGAGGUUGUAGUGAGCCAAGAUCACACUACUGUACUCCAGCCUAGGUGACAGAGCAAGACUCUGUCUCAAAAAUAAACAAACAAACAAACAAACAAGAGCCUGGUCUCUGAGAAACAUGGGUUCAAAUUCCAGAUCUACCGAUCAGUACUUGCGUGGCUGGUGGGCACGUGCCUUUUACCUGCCUGAGCCUCAAUUUCCCCAUUUGUAGGCUGGGAACAAUAUGAGUGUAUUAGUCUGUUUUCACACUGCUAUAAAGAAAUACCUGAGACUUGAUCAUUUAUAAACAAAAGAAGUUUAACUGACUCACAGUUUCUUAUGACUGAGAAGGCCUCAGGAAACACAAUCAUGGUGGAAGGCGAAGGGGAGGCAGGCACCUUCACCACAAGGCGGCAGGAGUGAGAAGAGUGAGGGAGGAACUUCCAAACACUAUAAAACCAUCAGAUCUCCUGAGAACUCACUCACUGUCAGAAGAACAGCAUGAGGGAAACUUCCCCCAUGAUCCAAUCACCUCCCUCCCUCGACAUAUAGGGAUUACAGGCCCCUCACUCGACCCAUGGGGAUUACAACUGGAGAUGAGAUUUGGGAGAGGACAGAGAGCCAAACCAUAUCAAUGAGAAUCUUCCUCAUCAGGCUGUUUUGUGGAUUCAGUGUGAGAGUAUGUGUGAAGCGCUGAGCUCAGUGCCAGGCUGGAGUGAUAUCCAACAUAUGGUGGUUAUUUCUAUUGCUGUUAUUGUUACGGUUAUUAGAGCCUAGACAGAAUAUAAAGUAGGGCUUUUCUCCAAAAAUUAUUCCUUAGAUUUGACUGCUUAGAGAGUAUGCUGUAUUAUGGGACACAUUCCCAAUUACUUCAUUUUGACCAAUAGAAUGCUAUUUGGGAAAGAUGCAUUAGUCUGAAAUGGCCUCACUAGAUGAUCAAUUUGGAUGUUAAUGGCAGUAACCUGACAAAUGGGCUAAAAGAAAGAUAAAGUAAUUUUGUUGUAGCUUUAGAAUUUCUCCAGGGAGUGUGGUCUCAUGCACACAGGGGAUGGAUAUUGUUGCAAACAAGCCUUUUACUGCCCAUUGUAUAACACAAUAAAAAAGGUGUGCAGAUUAUGAAUUUAUAACUACCAGAAGAAUAAAAGUAACCUAGUAGCCUAAUGUUCAGCAAACAGUUAUUUUUGGCUUGGGAUAAUUUUAGCACCCUGUAAGAAGUUGUAACAAACAACUUAGAGAACUGGAGAUAGGUGCGCUAGAAAAUGAUGGACAUCUCAAAAAGUGGCCUGGUAAUGACAAAGGACACAGAUUCAAAAAUGCAGAUAGAGGCCAGGCAAGGUGAGUCACACCUGUAAUCCCAGCGCUUUGGGAGGAUGAAGCCAUUAGAUUGCUUGAGCCCAGAAGUUCAAGACCAGCCUGGGCAACAUGACAAAACUCUGUCUCGACUAAAAAUACAAAAAUUAGCCAGUGUGGUGGCACUCACCUGUAGUCCCAGCUACUCUGGAGACUGAGAUGGGAUGAUUGCUUGAGCCCAGGAGUUC